UCCUCUAAUGCCGGGCCUCCAAGCUGGGAAGGAGGGGACUCGCCUUCUCCGAUUUCUCCUGCUCUCUGACUUCCUCACACCAGGCUACACUUCCUCCCCUCCCACCUUCGCUCUACCCGGGAGCACCUCAUGCCCUCCAUCUGAAGUGUCACUUACAGCUGGGAUCCUGGGGAGAAUUAAAUGAGAGAAGCUUUGUGGAAUGCCUGGAACAGCACUCAGCCAUGAGAAGCACCCGCUGAACGUCAGCUAUCGUUACCAAAGGUGGUAAGAGGGACGAGGUGGGAGACGUGGCUCCCAUGUAACCGCUAUGUCAUAAACAGAGCUUCAUGUUAAAGAAAGCUCCUGCCUCGAGGCCCCUCUGGGUGCUGGCACACAUCAAGCCCUGAACAUAACUGUGCACCAUUUUCUUCCAUAAAGCCACAGACUCGUGACUUACUGAACACCGACUGUGCUCUAAGUACUGCCCGAGCAGGGUGCCCAGAGUGGACCCCUGGGGGACCAGCAGGAUGCAGAUGCUGAUCCGAGAGAGGCGACAGCAGGAGGGACACCAGCAGACCGGGUUCCAGUUCCCCCAGGGGGCCUCCCCCAUCGCGCUGUGUGUGAAGUGGAUCUUUCCUGCCCCUCAGCUCUAAUAGCAAUCCAUGGACAAGGUCUUGACAUCACUCCACUCUGUUUUAUACCAUAAUUAACUUAGACAAGAUCUCUGAACUUGAAGCUUAUAAAAUCUGUAUCACUAUUGUGAUAACAAAACAGUUACCAUCUGUUCAAUCCCUCUGACACCAUGCUGGGCAAGGUGUCGGGCACCUUACACUGUUCAAGUCUAAUCCUCCUAACAGCUCUAUGGUUGGGUGUGUCCCCCAUCAGGUGAGGAAACUGGGGUCCCACCAGGGGACAUCACACAGCUAAGGCCAUCCACAGUAGCACCAUCAAGCUCUUGCACCUGGAAGGCUGUGUUCUUGGACAAUGACCCCUUAAAGGAGCACGUAUGGUUGAGGGAAGUGAAGUACAGUAUCUUCAAAUCCCCUUGAAGAACAGAGAGUGUCUCCAUCUGGCUUUGUGAUGAGCAUCCUUGGGAGAAGAAUGUCACUAGAGAAAGCAGUGAGCCAGUGGAAUAAUUCAGGCACCGGACUGCUGGAGAGGUGCCUUGUACGAGAGGGCUCAGGGGCAUGGCGAGGAUUUGCGGGUGCGUCCAGCACUGACUGGGGCAAGGAGCAGCUGCUUCUGGAUGGCGACCACUGUGCGUGUGCCUUCUGUAGGGACAGGGAAGUCACCCAGCCAGGCUGACUCGCAGGAGCUGCCAUCUGCCCACGGUGCUGCGUCGUCUGUGCAUCACCUUUUCACUCCCCCCAGCAAUUCCAGGCGGCUCCGCGAUCCUCUGCAUCGAGCCGAUGAAGCAGCUGAGGCUUAAAUAACCCGCCCGGGCACAGCAUCAGGGACCUGUAGGGCUACGGUUCCGACCCGGAGCCCCCUUUCCGGACGCCUCCGGCCACAUCACGCACCUCUUUCACCGAGUCUGACAGGUGGAGAAGUCCACCGUGGACCAGCUCCCAGUGCUCGGGUUCUGCAUGGGCACCACGAGCAGUGACCAGGCGGCCCCAGCAAAUUCCAGCACCAGCCGUAAUGACAAGCUCACGUUCCCCGUAAAUGAAUAUACUGGAAUUCUGUUUGCCCGCCCACCUGUGUUUGCUUGGUGUGACCAGGCCUUCAGAUGUCACUUCAUAGUGACAUGAAAAAUAAAACAAAAACGAGCUCUAAAUCUGUCAAGCUAAGACAGGCCCUGUUUCCACCAAGAUUCUGCCGCGGGGCAUUGGGGUGCUGACAGGUGCAGAGGCUACCUAAAAAACCAGGUACGGCUUGGGAUGUGGAAUCAGAGAUUCUUGCUGUGUGUCCUGAGGUGAGUUACUUAACUUCUCUGAGCUUCAUUUUCUGAGCUACCUCACAAAAUAAAAACAU